rnacentral:antisense_RNA from 16 species
AAUAACCAAAGAUUACAGCAGCGUUUGUUGUUGGGUUUGUAAUAAUACGAACGUCACCACCACCUGGUGCCCAAGUAUCAUAAACACCACCAAAAUAAAGAGCUUUUAAAACAAGUAACCAAGCCCCUAAACCUAACAUAAUAAGGUGAUAACCUAAAAUAUUAGUCAUUUUGUUUUUAUCUUUCCA